rnacentral:rRNA from 1 species
UACGUAGGGUGCAAGCGUUGUCCGGAAUUAUUGGGCGUAAAGAGCUCGUAGGCGGUCUGUUGCGUCGGCUGUGAAAACCCGGGGCUCAACUCCGGGCCUGCAGCCGAUACGGGCAGACUAGAGUUCGGCAGGGGAGACUGGAAUUCCUGGUGUAGCGGUGAAAUGCGCAGAUAUCAUGAGGAAGACCAGUGGCGAAGGCGGGUCUCUGGACAGUUCCUGACACUGAGACACGAAGGCCAGGGGAGCAAACGGG